AUACAGAGGGUGCAAGCGUUAUUCGGAAUUACUGGGCGUAAAGCGCGCGUAGGCGGAUGAUUAAGUCAGUUGUGAAAGCCCUGGGCUCAACCUAGGAACUGCAUCUGAUACUGGUCGUCUAGAGUUUAAGAGAGGGAAGUGGAAUUCCAGGUGUAGCAGUGAAAUGCGUAGAUAUCUGGAGGAACAUCGGUGGCGAAGGCGACUUCCUGGCUUAAAACUGACGCUGAGGUGCGAAAGCGUGGGUAGCGAACGGGAUUAGAAACCCUAGUAGUCC
rnacentral:rRNA from 1 species